AGGCCAUGAUGUGGGCAUUGUCUCUGGGGAUCCUUGUAUCUCUCCCAGGCUUCAUAUAAAGACUCAUCAUCCCUUUGGCAAAAGAUAGCAAGAUCAUUGCGAAGCUU